UAAAUUUAGAGUUUGAUCCUGGCUCAGGACGAACGCUGGCGGCGUGCUUAACACAUGCAAGUCGAGCGAUGAAGCUUCCUUCGGGAAGUGGAUUAGCGGCGGACGGGUGAGUAACACGUGGGUAACCUGCCUCAAAGUGGGGGAUAGCCUUCCGAAAGGAAGAUUAAUACCGCAUAAUAUAAGAGAAUCGCAUGAUUUUCUUAUCAAAGAUUUAUUGCUUUGAGAUGGACCCGCGGCGCAUUAGCUAGUUGGUAAGGUAAUGGCUUACCAAGGCAACGAUGCGUAGCCGACCUGAGAGGGUGAUCGGCCACAUUGGAACUGAGACACGGUCCAGACUCCUACGGGAGGCAGCAGUGGGGAAUAUUGCGCAAUGGGGGAAACCCUGACGCAGCAACGCCGCGUGGGUGAUGAAGGUCUUCGGAUUGUAAAGCCCUGUUUUCUAGGACGAUAAUGACGGUACUAGAGGAGGAAGCCACGGCUAACUACGUGCCAGCAGCCGCGGUAAUACGUAGGUGGCGAGCGUUGUCCGGAUUUACUGGGCGUAAAGGGUGCGUAGGCGGAUGUUUAAGUGGGAUGUGAAAUCCCCGGGCUUAACCUGGGGGCUGCAUUCCAAACUGGAUAUCUAGAGUGCAGGAGAGGAAAGCGGAAUUCCUAGUGUAGCGGUGAAAUGCGUAGAGAUUAGGAAGAACACCAGUGGCGAAGGCGGCUUUCUGGACUGUAACUGACGCUGAGGCACGAAAGCGUGGGUAGCAAACAGGAUUAGAUACCCUGGUAGUCCACGCCGUAAACGAUGGAUACUAGGUGUAGGGGGUAUCAACUCCCCCUGUGCCGCAGUUAACACAAUAAGUAUCCCGCCUGGGGAGUACGGUCGCAAGAUUAAAACUCAAAGGAAUUGACGGGGGCCCGCACAAGCAGCGGAGCAUGUGGUUUAAUUCGAAGCAACGCGAAGAACCUUACCUGGACUUGACAUCCCUUGCAUAGCCUAGAGAUAGGUGAAGCCCUUCGGGGCAAGGAGACAGGUGGUGCAUGGUUGUCGUCAGCUCGUGUCGUGAGAUGUUAGGUUAAGUCCUGCAACGAGCGCAACCCUUGUUAUUAGUUGCUACCAUUAAGUUGAGCACUCUAAUGAGACUGCCUGGGUAACCAGGAGGAAGGUGGGGAUGACGUCAAAUCAUCAUGCCCCUUAUGUCCAGGGCUACACACGUGCUACAAUGGUAGGUACAAUAAGACGCAAGACCGUGAGGUGGAGCAAAACUUAUAAAACCUAUCUCAGUUCGGAUUGUAGGCUGCAACUCGCCUACAUGAAGCUGGAGUUGCUAGUAAUCGCGAAUCAGAAUGUCGCGGUGAAUACGUUCCCGGGCCUUGUACACACCGCCCGUCACACCAUGAGAGCUGGUAACACCCGAAGUCCGUGAGGUAACCGUAAGGAGCCAGCGGCCGAAGGUGGGAUUAGUGAUUGGGGUGAAGUCGUAACAAGGUAGCCGUAGGAGAACCUGCGGCUGGAUCACCUCCUUU
rnacentral:rRNA from 1 species